rnacentral:rRNA from 1 species
GAUGAACGCUGGCGGCGUGCCUAAUACAUGCAAGUCGAGCGAACAGACGAGGAGCUUGCUCCUCUGACGUUAGCGGCGGACGGGUGAGUAACACGUGGAUAACCUACCUAUAAGACUGGGAUAACUUCGGGAAACCGGAGCUAAUACCGGAUAAUAUAUUGAACCGCAUGGUUCAAUAGUGAAAGACGGUUUUGCUGUCACUUAUAUAUGGAUCCGCGCCGCAUUAGCUAGUUGGUAAGGUAACGGCUUACCAAGGCAACGAUGCGUAGCCGACCUGAGAGGGUGAUGGGCCACACUGGAACUGAGACACGGUCCAGACUCCUACGGGAGGCAGCAGUAGGGAAUCUUCCGCAAUGGGAGAAAGCCUGACGGAGCAACGCCGCGUGAGUGAUGAAGGUCUUCGGAUCGUAAAACUCUGUUAUUAGGGAAGAACAAAUGUGUAAGUAACUAUGCACGUCUUGACGGUACCUAAUCAGAAAGCCACGGCUAACUACGUG